GAUGAACGCUAGCGGCAGGCUUAAUACAUGCAAGUCGAGGGGCAUCGCGGGUAGCAAUACUUUGGUGAGAGUGGCGCACGGGUGCGUAACACGUAUGCAACCUACCUAUAACCGGGACACAACCCCGCGAAAGCGGGGCUAAUAUCCCAUAACACUGCGAGACGGCAUCAUUUUGCAGUUAAAACUCAGGUGGUUAUAGAUGGGCAUGCGCGACAUUAGCUAGUUGGUGAGGUAACGGCCCACCAAGGCUACGAUGUCUAGGGGUUCUGAGAGGAUUAUCCCCCACACUGGUACUGAGACACGGACCAGACUCCUACGGGAGGCAGCAGUAAGGAAUAUUGGUCAAUGGGCGCAAGCCUGAACCAGCCAUGCCGCGUGAAGGAAGAAGGCCCUAUGGGUUGUAAACUUCUUUUGUACGGGAAAAAACCACCGGUCGAGCAUCGGUGCUGAUGGUACCGUAAGAAUAAGCAUCGGCUAACUCCGUGCCAGCCGCCGCCGUAAUAC
rnacentral:rRNA from 1 species